UCCUACGGGAGGCAGCAGUAGGGAAUCUUCCGCAAUGGACGAAAGUCUGACGGAGCAACGCCGCGUGAGUGAUGAAGGCUUUCGGGUCGUAAAACUCUGUUGUUAGGGAAGAACAAGUGCUAGUUGAAUAAGCUGGCACCUUGACGGUACCUAACCAGAAAGCCACGGCUAACUACGUGCCAGCAGCCGCGGUAAUACGUAGGUGGCAAGCGUUAUCCGGAAUUAUUGGGCGUAAAGCGCGCGCAGGUGGUUUCUUAAGUCUGAUGUGAAAGCCCACGGCUCAACCGUGGAGGGUCAUUGGAAACUGGGAGACUUGAGUGCAGAAGAGGAAAGUGGAAUUCCAUGUGUAGCGGUGAAAUGCGUAGAGAUAUGGAGGAACACCAGUGGCGAAGGCGACUUUCUGGUCUGUAACUGACACUGAGGCGCGAAAGCGUGGGGAGCAAACAGGAUUAGAUACCCUGGUAGUCCACGCCGUAAACGAUGAGUGCUAAGUGUUAGAGGGUUUCCGCCCUUUAGUGCUGAAGUUAACGCAUUAAGCACUCCGCCUGGGGAGUACGGCCGCAAGAUUAAAACUCAAAUGAAUUGACGGA
rnacentral:rRNA from 1 species